rnacentral:lncRNA from 12 species
CAGGAGUAAAAAGAGACAUUACUACAGGGAUGUGGGGAACAUUUGUCUUGUGGUUUCUUUUAGACACCUUUGGGAAGUCGUCUGUCUUCGUGGCAGAAUGGAAGCCAGGAGUGCCAUUAGGAGUGCACCACCCAUCAGGCUCAUCAGAAGGGAAUAAAGGAACUUUUCUCCCAUUCUCCCGGGACCUUGCUACAAGUGCAGGAGGGCAGCAUGCAGGGUGCUGGCUGAAAAUGCAGACUCCCGGGUUCUACACACCAGUUUUGAGAUGGGCCCAGGACUCUGCAUUUUUAACAGGAGCUUCAGGACGCUCUGGGGCAGUGGUAAGUAAGGAUGCUGGAGAUUUGAGGCUCCUUUGAGAGGAAUUUAGCUGGCUCAUGGACGAGAGGGGUGAGGAGAGGUGAAGGGGGCUGGUGUUGGAGGAGAAGGGGCAUUUUGGUCUCGGGGAUUAGGUGGGGGGAGAUGUUGAAGGUGGUGGAGGGGUGGCUAUGAACCCCCUUGCAGUGGAUCCCCCAAGUGGCAGGUCCUGGGUGGGAGUGGCUCCGUGAAGACUCUGAAGGCUGGACUCAACCCUGCAGCCUUAGGAUGUUGUCUCCAGUGCCCCAAACAGGCUUGCAUCAAUGGAGGGGAACCUGAAAAGUGCCCGUCACCCAUCCAAAACGGCAGAUGGACACUGGACGGGGGCGCUGUGCAUGAUGCUGAUGAUGUUAAUAAGAAAUAUUCAUUAGUGCCAGGCACUGGUCUCACUGUGUUACAUACACAAAGUCAUAGGUCUUGUUACCCUUCCUUUUACAGAUGAGGACACUGCGGCACAGAGAGGUUUAGCAACGCAAAGUCACACCGCCUGUGAAAGGCAGAGCCAGUAUCUACAUUUGAGCAAUAAGCUAUAGUCUAUUCUUGGUCCCCUUGCUCUUCAGCCACAAGUAGUAAGUGUGAGGAUGUGAUCACACCAACUGGAGACUGCAUCUUUCUUUCCAAUCAUUCAGGCCCAAACCCUGAGACGCUUGUAAGAUCCACAGAAAGGAGAUGUGUCCUGAAAUUGAGCACCAUCGAACUUACUCACCUACAUUAAUAAUGGAGAUAAGACUUGAUUUAGAAAUGUAAAGAAGUGGGACCUAUCUUGCACGUUCAGGAGUUUACAGAGCAACUUACACCUAUGGCCCCAAUUAGAAUGUCAAAUUCCCUUGCUUGCUUUUUUGAUAUGCCUUCUUUCUUAAUUUGGUUUUUUUGAGCAGAUCCGACGCUGUAUUUACGUAGUUCAGAAAUAAAGAUAAUAUAAGAAAGAUGUAUAAAAAAGCA